rnacentral:lncRNA from 1 species
UGAAAUAAUUGAAAAAAGUUCCACCUUUGCAGACCUUCUGAAUUAAAUCAAAAUAAACUUUGAUUUUCAGGGACAUCUAUCUGAAGGUGGGCAUGGGCGAGAAUAGAAAACUGCAUGUUGGAAAACAUGGACAAGAGGAGGGGUCCUGUUUUAACCAUAGAGUCAACUUCCUAUAAUAUAAGUGCCAUGGGUGAGUUUUCUUAUUUACAUUGCCAUCUCUAAAUCGAUUAGGAAACACUGCCUCAAAAUAGUUAAUGAGGCAACAAAACUGUUAUCCUUGUAGAAUCUAUUUUUCUAACAUUUCCUAACUUGCUG